rnacentral:rRNA from 1 species
AUACAGAGGGUGCAAGCGUUAAUCGGAAUGACUGGGCGUAAAGCGUGUGUAGGUGGUUAGAUAAGUUAGAUGUGAAAUCCCCGGGCUUAACCUGGGAACUGCGUUUAAGACUGUAUGACUAGAGUACUGUAGAGGAUAGUGGAAUUUCCAGUGUAGCGGUGAGAUGCGUAGAUAUUGGAAGGAACACCAGUGGCGAAGGCGACUAUCUGGAUAGAUACUGACACUGAGACACAAAAGCGUGGGGAGC